rnacentral:ncRNA from 2 species
AUUAUAAAAGGUGAUGGGGUUCCGCCGGAAAUACCUGAUUGGUUGAUGACUCCUGCUAUGGA